UCSUGUGUUGGUUKCCCCGCGUGACGGAARAUGAUCUCGGAUGAGUCAUAAUUUKUGCCUCUCACCACUUCGUGGUGUUAGGUCGACGUGGAUGUACUGCCCAUUCUCCUUGAWUGCUUCGCCCUUUCGCGUUGCAAUCAUGGCCCAUGGGUUGCUACUAGUUCCCUCGGAUGCAGAACUUUUGAAGGGUGCAUAGCAUGUUAUUGUUGUUUACCCACAAAGCGUUCAUGUCUCGAUGCGUACGACAGUUGUGCCCGCCUUGGUCCCGUCUYUAACUAGUUAGGACGGGGCUCAUGCGGAGCCGGCGUCGCAGAGGAAUGCUACCUGGUUGAUCCUGCCAGUAKUCWUAUGCUUGUCUCAA
rnacentral:misc_RNA from 1 species